AGAGUUUGAUCCUGGCUCAGGAUGAACGCUGGCGGCGUGCUUAAUACAUGCAAGUCGAACGAGGUGCUUUUGUAGCAAUACGAGGGUAUCCUAGUGGCGAACGGGUGAGUAACACGUUGGUGACCUGCCCCGAAGUGUGGGAUAACAGUCCGAAAGGAUUGCUAAUACCGCAUGUGGUUAUCGGAUUUAGAAACUGAUAACUAAAGCAGUAAUGCGCUUCGGGAGGGACCUGCGUCCCAUCAGCUAGUUGGUAGGGUAACGGCCUACCAAGGCUUCGACGGGUAAGGGACCUGAGAGGGUGGUCCCUCACAAUGGCACUGAAACACGGGCCAUACACCUACGGGUGGCAGCAGUAGGGAAUAUUGGGCAAUGGGCGAAAGCCUGACCCAGCAACGCCGCGUGUGUGAUGAAGGCCUUCGGGUCGUAAAACACUUUUCUGAGGGAUGAGCAAGGACAGUACCUCAGGAAUAAGUCUCGGCUAACUACGUGCCAGCACCCGCGGUAAAACGUAGGAGACGAGCGUUAUCCGGAUUUACUGGGCGUAAAGCGUGUGCAGGCGGUUCGGCAAGUUGGAUGUGAAAUCUCCCGGCUCAACUGGGAGGCGUCGUUCAAAACUACCAAACUUGAGGGCAUCAGAGGAAGGUGGAAUUCCGGGUGUAGUGGUGAAAUGCGUAGAUAUCCGGAGGAACACCAGUGGCGAAGGCGGCCUUCUGGGAUGCUCCUGACGCUCAGACACGAAAGCUAGGGGAGCGAACGGGAUUAGAGACCCCGGUAGUCCUAGCUGUAGACGAUGUAGACUUGGCGUCGGAGGGUUCAAAACCUUCGGUGUCGAAGCUAACGCGAUAAGUCUACCGCCUGGGGACUACGGCCGCAAGGUUAAAACUCAAAGGAAUUGACGGGGGCCCGCACAAGCAGCGGAGCGUGUGGUUUAAUUCGAUUUACACGAAGAACCUUACCCGGGUUUGACAUGUGAGUGGUAGGGAUCCGAAAGGUGACCGACCCGCAAGGGAGCUUUCACAGGUGCUGCAUGGCUGUCGUCAGCUCGUGUCGUGAGAUGUUCGGUUAAGUCCGCUAACGAGCGCAACCCUCGCUACGUGUUACAAGUGUCACGUGGGACCGCCGGUAUCAAGCCGGAGGAAGGUGGGGAUGACGUCAAGUCAGCAUGGCCUUUAUAUCCGGGGCUACACACACGCUACAAUGGUCGGUACAAUGGGUCGCUAAGCCGCGAGGUGGAGCCAAUCCCCAAAGCCGGCCUCAGUUCAGAUCACAGGCUGCAACUCGCCUGUGUGAAGUCGGAGUUGCUAGUAAACGCGCGUCAGCUAUAGUGCGUUGAAUACGUUCUCGGGCCUUGUACACACCGCCCGUCACGUCAUGGGAGCUGGUAACACCUGAAGCCGGUAGCCUAACCGCAAGGAGGGCGCUGUCGAAGGUGGUGCUGGUGACUGGGACGAAGUCGUAACAAGGUA
rnacentral:rRNA from 1 species